rnacentral:rRNA from 1 species
UACGUAGGCAGCAAGCGUUGUUCGGAGUUACUGGGCGUAAAGAGUGCGUAGGCGGUGCUCUAAGUUUGGUGUGAAAUCUCCCGGCUCAACUGGGAGGGUGCGCCGAAAACUGGAGUGCUUGAGUAUGGGAGAGGCAAGCGGAAUUCCUGGUGUAGCGGUGAAAUGCGUAGAUAUCUGGAGGAACACCGGUGGCGAAGGCGGCAUCCUGGACCAAUACUGACACUGAGGAGCGAAAGCCAGGGGAGCAAACGGG